rnacentral:rRNA from 1 species
UGGGGGGUCUUGGGCAAUGGGCGAAAGCCUGACCCAGCGACGCCGCGUGGAGGAAGAAGCCCUUCGGGGUGUAAACUCCUUUUGCUGGGGAAGAAACCUGACGGUACCCGGCGAAUAAGGGCCUGCUAACUACGUGCCAGCAGCCGCGGUAAUACGUAGGGCCCGAGCGUUACCCGGAUUUACUGGGCGUAAAGGGUCCGCAGGCGGCCCGGCAAGUCGGGCGUGAAAUUCCUCGGCUUAACCGAGGAGCUGCGUCCGAUACUACCGGGCUCGAGGACGGGAGAGGGAGGUGGAAUUCCCGGAGUAGCGGUGAAAUGCGUAGAUACCGGGAGGAACACCGGUGGCGAAGGCGGCCUCCUGGCCCGUUCCUGACGCUCAGGGACGAAAGCGUGGGGAGCGAACCGG